rnacentral:rRNA from 1 species
GUGCCAGCCGCCGCGGUAAUACGGAGGAUGCAAGCGUUAUCCGGAUUUAUUGGGUUUAAAGGGUGCGUAGGCUGUCUGUCAAGUCAGGGGUGAAAUACCGGGGCCCAACUCCGGAACUGCCUUUGAUACUGUCAGGCUGGAAUACUGCCGCCGUGGGAGGAAUGAGUAGUGUAGCGGUGAAAUGCAUAGAUAUUACUCAGAACACCGAUUGCGAAGGCAUCUCACGAAACAGUUAUUGACGCUGAGGCACGAAAGCGUGGGGAUCAAACAGGAUUAGAUACCCUGGUAGUCCACGCAGUAAACGAUGAUAACUAACCGUUGGCGAUACACAGCCAGUGGCCAAGCGAAAGCGAUAAGUUAUCCACCUGGGGAGUACGACCGCAAGGUUGAAACUCAAAGGAAUUGACGGGGGCCCGCACAAGCGGAGGAACAUGUGGUUUAAUUCGAUGAUACGCGAGGAACCUUACCCGGGCUCGAACGGCAAGUGAAGGAUUGAGAGAUCAUGACGCCCUUCGGGGCACUUGUCGAGGUGCUGCAUGGUUGUCGUCAGCUCGUGUCGUGAGAUGUUGGCUUAAGUGCCAUAACGAGCGCAACCCUUGCCACUAGUUACCAGCACGUCAAGGUGGGGACUCUAGUGGGACUGCCACCGCAAGGUGAGAGGAAGGCGGGGAUGACGUCAAAUCAGCACGGCCCUUACGUCCGGGGCGACACACGUGUUACAAUGGUGGGUACAGAGGGGAGCUACCUGGCGACAGGAUGCAAAUCUCGAAAACCCAUCUCAGUUCGGAUCGGAGUCUGCAACCCGACUCCGUGAAGCUGGAUUCGCUAGUAAUCGCGCAUCAGCCAUGGCGCGGUGAAUACGUUCCCGGGCCUUGUACACACCGCCCGU